AGUGAACGCUGGCGGUAGGCCUAACACAUGCAAGUCGAACGGCAGCACAGUAAGAGCUUGCUCUUACGGGUGGCGAGUGGCGGACGGGUGAGGAAUACAUCGGAAUCUACUUUUUCGUGGGGGAUACCGUAGGGAAACUUACGCUAAUACCGCAUACGACCUACGGGUGAAAGCAGGGGAUCUUCGGACCUUGCGCGAUUGAAUGAGCCGAUGUCGGAUUAGCUAGUUGGCGGGGUAAAGGCCCACCAAGGCGACGAUCCGUAGCUGGUCUGAGAGGAUGAUCAGCCACACUGGAACUGAGACACGGUCCAGACUCCUACGGGAGGCAGCAGUGGGGAAUAUUGGACAAUGGGCGCAAGCCUGAUCCAGCCAUACCGCGUGGGUGAAGAAGGCCUUCGGGUUGUAAAGCCCUUUUGUUGGGAAAGAAAAGCAGCAGGUUAAUACCCCGCUGUUCUGACGGUACCCAAAGAAUAAGCACCGGCUAACUUCGU
rnacentral:rRNA from 1 species